UUUGGUUGGGUUGUGACUUUUGGAAAAGCUGCUGUGAGCUGUGGGCUGUGGAAAGUAGCUAUGAGAAAGUAGCUGUGGGAAAAGCAGAAGACCAUUUGGUUAGAGGAGCUGUGAAGCUGUAGACUGUGUAAGAAAUACCUGUAAUGCCCCCAAAGGUCCGUGAGUGUUUUUAUAUGCAAAUUGCUCAUGACAAAAUAAUGUGUUCGCUAAUUUGCAUGUAAAUAACUAUUUUAGAAAGUAAAAAAAUAAAUUUUAUAUGUUCUUCAUCCAUUAAAGUGAUUGGUCCACAUAAAUAGAACAAUAUCCAUCAAAACUUUUAUACAAUGAUGCCAUCCCUCAAUAUUACUGUCCUCCUCUCGCACUAACCAAAGCAUCAGCUAUUCUAGUAUGAAUGGUAUUCAUGGUAUCCUCAUUCUCCAUAUCGUCACUCUCAUCUCCUUGUGUUUGUCUCGUGCCACUUGUAUGUUGUACCAAGUACUCCUCCUCCUCAUCACAUCUCUUGAACUCCUUCUCACACAAAUUGCUGUCACGGAUUAAAUUAUGCAAUGCAAGACAAGCCAUAAUGAUAUGCU
rnacentral:lncRNA from 1 species